CUUUAUUUUGCAAGAGUUCUGGAGAUAUUAGAGUGAUUAUCCUUGCUCCUUUUUUUUUUUUUUUUUAAAGCUGAAAUGCUGCCGGUUUUCUUCCUUGUCCCGAGCCUGCAUAACUGCUACCAAGUCUUCCUUCUGACGUUGCCAUCACACAUCGCAUACCACCAAUGAGAUGGAAGAAAUGAAGAGGAGUCUUCCCGGAAAUCAG